rnacentral:lncRNA from 1 species
GUUAGAAAGCGUGUGUAGAUGAAGAGGUAAUACAAUGUUGGUCUUCAUCGUGUUGGUCUUUCUUCUAAUCGCAUUCUUAUGCACUUGGAAAUGCCCGUUAUGAAUUAAUGGCUAUGAGUUAUUAAGGUAUAACUCACUCCUAUUUUUGUUAGCAUGCAUUACUUUUAAGUUUCAUCAGGAAAGUUUAGUUAUUUUGGUAGGAGUAAAAAAUUUCAGUUAUCAGUUUUAAUAAAAAUCGAUCUUGAUGUUAUUGUUUUAAAAUUAAAAUUAAAAAUUGAAUUAUUAAAUUAAUUAAUAUAAUAAUACCUACGACAGCAAUUGACUACUACAAUGGGGAUUAUGUCAUCGACUCUGAUAAGGAUGAUCGGCACCGGCAGCAAUGACAGAUUAACAUAUCCAUAAAUUUUACUGCAACAAAAUUUAUGGAUCUUUGGUUAGUGUCUAUAUAUAUGCUUAACUUUCAAUUUUACCCCGAACUUUUUGAAUAGUUGCAAUUUCACUCUAAAUCGAACUUUGUAUUACAGUCACCCUGAACUUAUUAACCUAGUUGCAAUUUCACUUUAAUUUAAACUAAUACCCAACUCAUUAUUUUUGCACCUUAAAAUUGGUUCAAUUUUAAAAUUAAAUAUUCAAUCAUCAUUUUUUUAUUUAUUAUAUGAAUACUUGGAUUUGAUUUUAUUAUCUAUUGUUUAAAUGCUUGGGUAUGGAGUCCAUUUUUUUACAUUAUUAUCAGCAAAAUUCCGAUCUUAGUUUAUUUUUAGGGUGCAAUUGCAAUAAAUUGACAAGUUUAGGUGUUAUAAUUCACUUUUAGAGUGUAAUUGCAUCUAAAAGGUAAAUUAAGAUGUAAUUGCAACUAGAUUGAUAAGUUUAAGGUGCCAGGGUAUAAAAGUUGAUUUAGAGUAAAAUUACAAUUAUUCGAAAAAUUCGGGGUGAAAUUGAAAGUUAAAUCUAUUGAUUAUAUAUUACUUUAAUUCCCUUCUUAAUUAGCUUAAAUUUUUAUCUAUUUAUAUAAUUACGAAUCAACUUUUGUUUCUGAUUACAAAUAAAUGUGUCAGUCAAAUUAAUCCAACUUAAGACUACCCUUAAUUCAAUUAUUUUGUCUUAAAUUUUUUAAUUUAAAAUUGAAAAGGAAAUGAUUUAUUAUUUUUUAGAGUUUAUAUAAACAUAAACAUCUUAGCUUUUCCGUCCGGUGAUAGAAAUGUGUUUGUUCAUGUUGAGAUAAUCUAGUCUCUUUUUAGAUGUAUGUGAAUAUGUAUGAUGUCUAUUUCUACAUACAAUGGCAAUAUAUAUUGAUAUUAUUAAUUACUAUAUUUUUCAAGUAUAGGAUAUUAAUUCAAUUUCACUUGAAAAAGGCCAAGAUAAGAAUGCUAAAUAUGGAAUUUAUGCUACUAAACACAAUUAUUAUUCAAUUUUUUUUUUCUAUUUUAGUUAAUUAUGUUUUGUUUGGAAGUUCAGAUUUGUAAUCUUAGGGUUCAUACAAAGUACUAAUGUCUCAGUGCUUACUGAAGGAAUUAUUGUAUAUUAAUCUAUAGAAUUUAUAUUUAUUCUAUAUUAGGAGAAUCAAAAAUUAUUAUUGAAGCAAAGUACUUAAAUUUCUUUUCACCUUUUAAAAUAAAUUCCAGAUAUGAAAAAAUCUGAUUUUUUCAGAUUUUUUCAUAUCUCGAAUUUAUUUUAAAAGGUGAAAAAAAAUCUAAGUUAUUAGAUUCUGCAUUAUAUAUAUUACUAAUUUAAGACAAUGUCAUAAGUUACGAACCUGAAAUGAGUCUCAAUUCAAUUAAUUUGUAUAAUAUCUUUUCAAAUUUGAAAUUCAAAAGAUAGUGAAGUCAUUUACUUUUAGUACUUAUAUAAACCCUAAACAUCUUUAACUACUGAAGCAUAGUUGGCAAAUGUAUGUAGAGAUAGAGGCAAUUUUAGUAUUUGAAUACUUAGAAAUUGUUAAGCUCGAGCGUAUUCUUAUCAGCCUCUCCAUUGCUUGUGAUGACUCCAAGAAUAAUAGUACGGUUUCCAAAUCCUCUACCUGAUGAGUUACAAUAAAAAGAAAAUGAUGAUUGGAAAAAAAGAAUGUCCAGUUCAAAGAGCUCAUCAACAAUGAACGAAGAAUGCGAUGGAAAUGAGAAGAAUAAUACUAUUCUUUUGUUCGUCAUAUUCUUUAUUCAUGGUUGAUGAACUCUUUGAACUGCAUAUUCCUUUCUCAAUCACCAUUUUUUUUUUUUCAAUAACUCAUCAACUAGACAUGAAUAGAAACAUUAUUGUUGGCGUCACCACAAGUAAUGAGGAAGCUGAGUUGAAAACCUUUACGGAAACAGAUGACUGUAUUUUCAAGGCAUUGAUUCUCAAGAAAAUUGCCUCUUAGCUUCCGAUAUCCUCCACAAGCACAACCGAGCAAUGACUAUGACAAUUGGGACUGUAUAAUAUUAUCUAUAUAAUACUUUACUUUCCUUUUUAAUUUGAUGACAUGUGAAUUCUAUAUAUAUAUAUAUAUAUAUACAUAUAUAUAUAUAUAUACAGAUAUGAUGUUUGUGAGUUCGUUGUAGUGUGCAGGUUUACCAUAUUUAUAGAGAAGGCAAAUCUUACAGAGACUGGAUAGCUCACCAUGGAGGAACUUUGCCUAUGGUUGUUCAUAUUUUUGGAGGAUCACCUUAAGGAAUAAUUAGGCUUUUCUGCAUGAUAAUGUGUGGAUUUCAUAAAUUUUGUAAUAGCUACAUCUUGUUUAUUUUCUCUUUUUCUUUUUUUUUUUCUUUAAGAAAAAAUGACGUGUAUAAGUCAUUUGCUUCCUGUUUAACUAAUAAAAAAAUGGUAUGGUGUGAAUAAAAGCCUUUAAAGGUACAUAUGUUACUAAAA